GCACGGGAGCCCCGCACGGGGCUGAGAGGGCGAGAGCCGACCGUCGAACCUGAUCUGGGUCAUGCCAGCGAAGGGAGC
rnacentral:ncRNA from 1 species